rnacentral:rRNA from 1 species
AAGUCGUAACAAGGUUUCCGUAGGUGAACCUGCGGAAGGAUCAUUAAAGAAUCGCCCCGUUUUUUGAAAUGGGUUCUAUUCCCAAACCGUGUAUAUAUACCUUUGUUGCUUCGGCAGGCCGCCUUCUAGGCGUCGGCUCCGGCUGACUGCGCCUGCCAGAGGACCCAAACUCAUUUGUUUAGUGAUGUCUGAGUACCAUAUAAUAGUUAAAACUUUCAACAACGGAUCUCUUGGUUCUGGCAUCGAUGAAGAACGCAGCGAAAUGCGAUAAGUAAUGUGAAUUGCAGAAUUCAGUGAAUCAUCGAAUCUUUGAACGCACAUUGCGCCCCUUGGUAUUCCGAGGGGCAUGCCUGUUCGAGCGUCAUUAUAACCACUCAAGCCUCGGCUUGGUCUUGGGGUUCGCGGUCUCGCGGCCCUUAAAAUCAGUGGCGGUGCCGUCUAGCUCUAAGCGUAGUAAUUUUCUCGCUAUAGGGUCCAGGCGACCACCUGCCAGAACCCUCCAUUCUUUACGGUUGACCUCGGAUCAGGUAGGGAUACCCGCUGAACUUAAGCAUAUCAAUAAGCGGAGGAAAAGAAACCAACAGGGAUUGCCUCAGUAACGGCGAGUGAAGCGGCAACAGCUCAAAUUUGAAAUCUGGCUCUUUCAGGGUCCGAGUUGUAAUUUGUAGAAGAUGCUUUGGGUGUGGCUCCGGUCUAAGUUCCUUGGAACAGGACGCCAUAGAGGGUGAGAAUCCCGUACGUGACUGGGUGCCUUCGCUCGUGUAAAGCUCUUUCGACGAGUCGAGUUGUUUGGGAAUGCAGCUCAAAAUGGGUGGUAAAUUUCAUCUAAAGCUAAAUAUUGGCCAGAGACCGAUAGCGCACAAGUAGAGUGAUCGAAAGAUGAAAAGCACUUUGGAAAGAGAGUUAAACAGUACGUGAAAUUGUUGAAAGGGAAGCGCUUGCAACCAGACUUGCGCGCUGUUGAUCAUCCGAGCUUUUGCCCGGUGCACUCAGCAGCGCUCAGGCCAGCAUCGGUUUUGGUGGGCGGAUAAAGGCCUUGGGAAUGUAGCUCUCUUCGGGGAGUGUUAUAGCCCUCGGUGCAAUGCGCCCUACCGGGACCGAGGACCGCGCUUCGGCUAGGAUGCUGGCGUAAUGGUUGUAAGCGACC